rnacentral:rRNA from 1 species
UGGGGAAUCUUGGACAAUGGGCGCAAGCCUGAUCCAGCCAUGCCGCGUGAGUGAAGAAGGCCUUAGGGUUGUAAAGCUCUUUUGGCAGGGACGAUAAUGACGGUACCUGCAGAAUAAGCCCCGGCAAACUUCGUGCCAGCAGCCACGGUAAUACGAAGGGGGCUAGCGUUGUUCGGAUUUACUGGGCGUAAAGCGCACGUAGGCGGAUUGUUAAGUCAGGGGUGAAAUCCCGGAGCUCAACUCCGGAACUGCCUUUGAUACUGGCAAUCUUGAGGCUGGAAGAGGUUGGUAGAAUUCCCAGUGUAGAGGUGAAAUUCGUAGAUAUUGGGAAGAAUACCAGUGGCGAAGGCGGCCAACUGGUCCAGAUCUGACGCUGAGGUGCGAAAGCGUGGGGAGCAAACA